AGGACGAACGCUGGCGGCGUGCCUAACACAUGCAAGUCGAACGGGACCAGGGGCAACUCUGGUUCAGUGGCGGACGGGUGCGUAACACGUGAGGAACAUGACCUUCGGCGGGGGAUAGCCGGCCCAACGGCCGGGUAAUACCGCGUACGACCACUUGGGGACAUCCUCGGGUGGUGAAAGCAGCAAUGCGCCGAUGAAGUGCCUCGCGGCCUAUCAGCUAGUUGGUGAGGUAACGGCUCACCAAGGCGACGACGGGUAGCU
rnacentral:rRNA from 1 species